rnacentral:lncRNA from 1 species
UAUGGAAAAAGUAUUUGAAUGAACAAGGUACAUGUUAAGACGUCAAGCCGGGUCUUUUCUUUUAUACACCUGCACAAUAACAAAGGGAAAAAAACUUUUUUUUUUGUAACACACAAAGGGAAAUAAACUAUUUUGUCGAUUUUUGGCUUAUGUGACAUGCCAGCCCAUUCCCACCUAUUUCUACGAGGGAUGCAAGUGCAUCAUUGUCGUUCCUCUCUUUUCUUAUUGUUGUUAAUUUUUGUAAUACUAAACAAAUAUAAUACGAUCUGACCCUC